rnacentral:rRNA from 1 species
GGCCAGACUCCUACGGGAGGCAGCAGUGAGGAAUAUUGGUCAAUGGGCGCGAGCCUGAACCAGCCAAGUCGCGUGAGGGACGACGGUCCUAUGGAUUGUAAACCUCUUUUGUCGGGGAACAAAGGCGCCCACGGGUGGGCGGAUGAGUGUACCCGAAGAAAAAGCAUCGGCUAACUCCGUGCCAGCAGCCGCGGUAAUACGGAGGAUGCGAGCGUUAUCCGGAUUUAUUGGGUUUAAAGGGUGCGUAGGCGGACAGUCAAGUCAGCGGUAAAAAUGCGGUGCUCAACGCCGUACAGCCGUUGAAACUGGCAGUCUUGAGUGGGCGAGAAGUAUGCGGAAUUCGUGGUGUAGCGGUGAAAUGCUUAGAUAUCACGAAGAACCCCGAUUGCGAAGGCAGCCUGCCGCAGCGUUACUGACGCUGAAGCUCGAAAGCGCGGGUAUCGAACAGGAUUAGAUACCCGGGUAGA